UCCCUGGUAGUGUAUCGGCUAGUACACGCGCCUGUCAUAAUCUGGAUGUAUGUUGCAUGGUCGCGCGAAAGCGGGGUUCGACUCCCCGCCAGGGAG